rnacentral:rRNA from 1 species
GCCUAGCCGUAAACUUUUAUUUACACCCAAUCGCCAGGGAACUACGAGCUAAGCUUAAAACCCAAAGGACUUGACGGUGCCCCAUAUCCUCCUAGAGGAGCCUGUCCUAUAAUCGAUAAUCCACGUUCAACCUCACCAUCUCUAGUUAAUCAGCCUGUAUACCUCCGUCGUCAGCUUACCACGUGAGCGCUAAUUAGUGAGCUUAAUGUUAUUCACCAAUACGUCAGGUCAAGGUGCAGCAAAUGAAAUGGGAAGAGAUGGGCUACACUCUCUAUUUUAGAAAAAACGAAAAACUACCUAUGAAACCUAGUUAGAAGGCGGAUUUAGCAGUAAAAAGGAAUCAGCAUGUCCAUUUUAAUCCGGCACUGGGGUGUGU